ensembl:misc_RNA Metazoa_SRP Metazoan signal recognition particle RNA
GCCAGGUAUGGUGGCGUGCGCCUGUAAUCCCAGCUACUUGGGAGGCUGAGGCAGGAGAUUUGCUUGAACCCAGGAGCUGGAGGUUGCAGUGAGCAGAGAUUAUGCCACUGCACUCCAGCCUGGGUGACAGAGCAAGACUCCAUCUCAA